rnacentral:rRNA from 1 species
GGUUUUUUGUGGUUUUAAAGAAUCGUGCCUGCUCAAUGUUUUUAUAAAUAGCCGCGGUAAUUUGACCGUGCGAAGGUAGCAUAAUCAUUAGCCUUUUAAUUGAGGGCUGGAAUGAAGGGUUUGACAAUUAUUUUUUGUCUUUUAUAUUAUAUUUGAAUUUUGAUUUUAUGUGAAUAUACAUAGAUAUUUUAAGGGGACGAGAAGACCCUAUAAAGCUUGAUAGAUUUUGUUUGUUUUUAUUUCAUUGGGGCGAUGGUGUUAAUUUAAACAGCUUUAUUUUUAUUUUAUUUUAUUUAGGGGAUGAUCCAAUAUUAUUGAUAAUAGGAUAAGCUACUUUAGGGAUAACAGCGUAAUUUAAACAGAGAGUUCUUAUUGAUGUUUUAGUUUGCGACCUCGAUGUUGAAUUAGAGUACCAACUAGCCGCAGGAGGCGGGUGUGGGGGUCUGUUCGACCUUUUAUUCUUUACA